rnacentral:rRNA from 1 species
GGAGGUUGCAAGCGUUGUUCGGAUUUACUGGGCGUAAAGGGAGCGCAGGCGGCUAGGGUCAGUCUGAAGUGAAAGCCCGGGGGCUCAACCUCGGAAGGGCUUCGGAUACUGCCUAGCUUGAGUACGUGAGAGGUGAGCGGAAUUCCAGGUGAAGCGGUGAAAUGCGUAGAUAUCUGGAGGAACAUCGGUGGCGAAAGCGGCUCACUGGCACGAAACUGACGCUGAGGCUCGAAAGCGUGGGGAGCGAACGGGAUUAGAUACCCCGGUAGUCCACGCCGUAAACGUUGUGCACUAGGUGUGGGAGGUAUCGACCCCUCCCGUGCCGGCGCUAACGCAUUAAGUGCACCGCCUGGGGAGUACGGUCGCAAAGACUG